GCUCUUUUCAUACAAAACGCUCUUCUCUUCUCUUUUCUUCACAAACAGAGACAGAGGCUGAAUUUCUCUCUUCUGCACCACAACGCCAUCAGAAUGCAGACAGUAAUGGCGAAGAUGAAGGUGGUGAGGAGUGAAAUUGCUGCGAAACAAGUGGUUGUGAUCGAGGAAAAUGAGGAGAUACAUUGGUAUGCUUCUUGAAUUUCGUCCGGAGGACACAGGUACU